AAAUAUGUGCAAAAUGAUUUUGGAUGCAGACCAACAGGGUGAAGAAUUCUUUUUUAAUGAUCUUUUUCAAUGAAUUGUAAGUUCAACUGACAGAUUGUACAUGCAAGAUUUCCCUUUCUUUUUCAGCCCUUAAACUCAGCUAAACUGUAGAUCAUUGUAUUAAGUUAUGUUUUGGUUGUUGUUUUGUAAACCAAAAAAAUGUUUCUGCAUAUUCGACAUGUGACUACAAUAAUUGAUGUUUUGUCAUUUGCUGCAUAGUGUGAUAAAUGAGUUAAACACAAGAAAAGAGUGACUUGACUGCACAGUGUAUAUUAUAGACAAUGUUAUGAAAGAAACUUCAUGAUAAACCUGAUGGAAACUGAAGUAUAAUAGAAAGUCAGCGCAUCAAAUGGUCAUUUCAUUUCAAGCAAUGGGUGUUUAUUCAGGAAAUCUCCUUUUAAGGACACAGUAAAAAAUUAAAUGAUGUUUUGUAACAUUUAAAACAAUUUUUAGUUAUAUCUUGUUGCACCUUUUUUGAUAGAAGAACGAAUAUUUGAAUGGAGAACAGACGUUUUUUGCAUUCUAAGUCAAAAUGAAAGGGUGUUGUUCAAGUUAAAGAAAUGUGUGAAAUAGAAUAGAGAAAAUUUCUUAUUGUAGAGAAAACUUAAAAUAUUAGAUGUUUAUAUUUUGAACAAAUGUCUACUAUUGCUCUUACUUUUGAGAUUACUUUCAAAGCUUGUUAAUGUUUUAGAUACAAAGGUCUUGGCCUGUACCAGACAUAUUUUUUUUAAAUUUUGUAACAUUUUAACAGUGGUAACUGCAAUUUACUUUUGUGUUCAUUUCUGACAGAAGGGAUGUAUACUUAGUAGAGGUAUCUUCUAGUUCUGCGUAUUUCUGUACUGUUGCAAUAUGCAUCCUUUUUCUUUAGUUGUAAAGUGAAAUUUUCAAAUUACUGGAUGCACUUAUGCCGAUGAUUUUGAUUUUUCCUCGGGGGGCGGCGGAGUGGGGAACAAUAUAUUAUAAUACAAUAAUAGAUCUGUCUACUUAAGUAGGUAAUGUGUUGUUAUUUGACUCUUGUAGCUUCUUAUUGUAAAUCCCAGGUAUUAAUGUUAGCAGGAAGGUAAAUAUAACAUCCCUAAUGCUUUAAUGGACACGAGUUUUUGUUGCACAUAAUGUCUUCAUGAUGUCAUUGUAAUAUUAAUAAAAGUGGUAUCUUCUUA